rnacentral:rRNA from 1 species
GAUGAACUCUAGCGGGAGGCCUAACACAUGCAAGCCGAGCGGUAUUGUUUCUUCGGAAAUGAGAGAGCGGCGUACGGGUGCGGAACACGUGUGCAACCUGCCUUUAUCUGGGGGAUAGCCUUUCGAAAGGAAGAUUAAUACUCCAUAACAUAUUGAUUGGCAUCAAUUAAUAUUGAAAGCUCCGGCGGAUAGAGAUGGGCACGCGCAAGAUUAGCUAGUUGGUGAGGUAACGGCUCACCAAGGCGAUGAUCUUUAGGGGGCCUGAGAGGGUGAUCCCCCACACUGGUACUGAGACACGGACCAGACUCCUACGGGAGGCAGCAGUGAGGAAUAUUGGUCAAUGGGUGCAAGCCUGAACCAGCCAUCCCGCGUGAAGGACGACUGCCCUAUGGGUUGUAAACUUCUUUUGUAUAGGGAUAAACCUACCCUCGUGAGGGUAGCUGAAGGUACUAUACGAAUAAGCACCGGCUAACUCCGUGCCAGCAGCCGCGGUAAUACGGAGGGUGCAAGCGUUAUCCGGAUUUAUUGGGUUUAAAGGGUCCGUAGGCGGACUUAUAAGUCAGUGGUGAAAGCCUGUCGCUUAACGAUAGAACUGCCAUUGAUACUGUAAGUCUUGAGUAUAUUUGAGGUAGCUGGAAUAAGUAGUGUAGCGGUGAAAUGCAUAGAUAUUACUUAGAACACCAAUUGCGAAGGCAGGUUACCAAGAUAUAACUGACGCUGAGGGACGAAAGCGUGGGGAGCGAACAGGAUUAGAUACCCUGGUAGUCCACGCCGUAAACGAUGCUAACUCGUUUUUGGGCUUUAGGGUUCAGAGACCAAGCGAAAGUGAUAAGUUAGCCACCUGGGGAGUACGCUCGCAAGAGUGAAACUCAAAGGAAUUGACGGAGGCCCGCACAAGCGGUGGAUUAUAUGGUUUAAUUCGAUGAUACGCGAGGAACCUUACCAAGACUUAAAUGGGAAUUGACAGCUUUAGAAAUAGAGCUUUCUUCGGGCAAUUUUCAAGGUGCUGCAUGGUUGUCGUCAGCUCGUGCCGUGAGGUGUUAGGUUAAGUCCUGCAACGAGCGCAACCCCUGUCACUAGUUGCCAUCAUUCAGUUGGGGACUCUAGUGAGACUGCCUACGCAAGUAGAGAGGAAGGUGGGGAUGACGUCAAAUCAUCACGGCCCUUACGUCUUGGGCCACACACGUAAUACAAUGGCCGGUACAGAGGGCAGCUACACAGCGAUGUGAUGCAAAUCUCGAAAGCCGGUCUCAGUUCGGAUUGGAGUCUGCAACUCGACUCUAUGAAGCUGGAAUCGCUAGUAAUCGCGCAUCAGCCAUGGCGCGGUGAAUACGUUCCCGGGCCU